rnacentral:rRNA from 1 species
AUUGAACGCUGGCGGCAGGCCUAACACAUGCAAGUCGAGCGAGCGGCGGACGGGUGAGUAAUGUAUGGGGACUGCCCGAUAGAGGGGGAUAACUACUGGAAACGGUAGCUAAUACCGCAUACUAUCGGAUAACCCAUAUGGGAUUAGCUAGUAGGUGAGUUAAUGGCUCACCUAGGCGACGAGCCCUAGCUGGUCUGAGAGGAGGAUCAGCCACCCUGGGACUGGGACAAGGCCCAGACUCCUACGGAGGCAGCAGGGGGGAAUUUUGCACAAUGGGCGGAAGCCUGAUGCAGCCAUGCCGCGUGUAUGAAGAAGGCCCUAGGGUUGUAAAGUACUUUCAGUCGGGAGGCGUUACCGACAGAAGAAGCACCGGCUAACUCCGUGCCAGCCGCCGCGGUAAUAC